CGAUUUUAAAAAUGAAGACAUUAAGUCCCAAAAUUAUAAAAAUUGUAUGAAUAAAAUUAUGUCCGUUAAAUUGAUAAUAACGACUUAAUUUCACGUUUUUUUUUCUAUCCUGUGUUCUUUCUGCCAGCAUUUUUUCUCUCUUAUAUGCUCUUCCUGCCAACAGAGUUCAUCUUUUCCACCUACACACAGAGAACCUAGAAAACCAUACACAAAAAAACCCAAGAACCUACACAUAGAAACCCUUCUUCAAUCUUCAUUCAUCAAUCUUCAUUCAUUUGUAUUCACGAACACGGUCCAGUUUAAUCUUACUCCCCAUUCUCUUGUACUCAUCCUCUCCAGCAGUGCGACUCUGCCGCUUCUUCAACUCCUCCGCCUUCCUCUCAGCCUCCGCCUGCUCCUCUUCCCACCGUCACCAAAUCUCGACUUCAUCGCAAAUCCAAGCUAAGGAUGGUCUCUUCCAUCAGGUUUCUGAACGCGAUUUGGAUGAAGAAGUCGCUAUUGCGUUCUGUGGUGGAAGAGAUUGACAUCGCGAUGUGAUUGUGGCAAUGAGUUGGGGUAGUUGACGUGGAUGAAAAAAUUACAUUAGGGAGCUUGCCGCCGCUGUCGUACACACCACGACCACCAUCCACAAUCGUCAACGUUGCUACCGCAAAACUCACCAUCGUCGGAACACCACGAGUUCAUCUCACCACCACACAUCACUGCCAUCAACUCACCGCAGAGAAUCACCCAGAGCAAAAUCCACAACCUCCAUUAAAUCGCGAAAGCAACCCUCAAAUCGCCGCAAGUUCAGAGCGCGAGCCUCCUCCUGCGCGAGCCAUCAUCUUCCCCACCAUGAAACCAGCAAAACAGCGCCACCAACCGCCGCAUACAGAAUUUUCGUAAAAUAGAGAUCAAAUGUCUUCAUUUUAAGUCUUUUUAAUAUAAGUGCACACCACUUCCUAUGGAAACAAAUUAUGUGUUUUAUAAAAGUAUAUCAUUUCAAGAUUAAAAAAAGAUAACAAUUAUUAUGUUUAUUAUAUUUUAGUAAAAAUACUAAAAAUAGGGAUAAACUAUUUUUUUCCACGAUUUUGAUUUUAAUCUUUUUUUUUAACAUUUGGUCUAGUUAACUUCAUGUCCUUUUAAACGUGAUGGAAUCAGUCAUUAACGCUAAUCCACAUUAUCUUUCGGUUCUUCGUUUUGAGACACCUGACAAAUUAAUUAAUUAAAAAAAUUAAAAUAAAUUUUCAAUUCUUUUUCUUCUCUCUCCAUUUUCAGCUCUCCUUCAUUCAGAUCUCCCUUUUCUCUUCUUCUCUUUCAUUUCCAAGCCCUGGACUAGGAACACCACAGCAAUCGCAGGACUCGGCGUCGGUGGCUCCGCCGCCGAGGAGGCGGGACCGUAGGGAGAGGGUGGAGAGAGGCACGAUUCUCGAGAGAAGGGUUUCGUCGAGUAGGGGCUUGCCAUUGAGGAUGAAGUAGCGGGAUUGGUGUGAUUGGCGGAAAAGGCGGUGCUUGACAUCGGAAAGGGUUCUAUGAUUGGUCGUGGAUUGCACCAGGUUUUGGAGUGAUUUUGGAUGCAUUUGGAAUGGUUUUCUAGGAUUUGUGAUGUGGAAUUGAGAAUUUAAAAAGUGAUCGAUUGGGGUUUUCCAAUUCGCCAUCGCCAUCCACCGCAGCGCCACCACCACCACUUCGUCGCGUUCCCAAUUGGAGUCAGUGCUCGCAUCGCUGUUCAGAAUGGGCGACUCGCAUGACUGUUCUGUGUUUUUUGUUUUUUGUGCAUGAAUGGUUGUGUUUCGAUAUUAGUGGGUGAUUGAUAUGAAGGCUGGAGUGGAGUUGUUAUGCGUGAGGGUCGUGAGUUGGAGGAAUAAGGCGAAUGGAGGUUGGUUUGGAGCGUGAUUGUUCUGUUUGGUGGGUGUGUGUGUGGAGAAGAAAGACUAUGAGCUCGUUGAGAAAGAAGAUAAAUAUGCUUGUUUUGUAAUGGAUAUUUUCGUUAAAAUAAACCAAAUUUGUGGAUGAGAGAAAUGGAAGGGAGGAGACGAAAGUUUUAUGUGUUGGUCAUGAAUGGAGGGUGGCUAUGCUAGAAAUGGAGAUCGUGAUGGGUGGCUAGCUUGAGAAAGAAGAAGAAGAAUUGGAAAUUUAAUUUAAGUUUUUAAAUUAAUUAAUUUGUUACUUGUCUCAAAUGAUGUAGAUUAUCGUUUUCCAUAUUAGUUGUGAGAAUUGAUUCUAUGAAUUUUGAAAAGAUACACACUUAACU
rnacentral:sRNA from 1 species